rnacentral:rRNA from 1 species
GACGAACGCUGGCGGCGUGCUUAACACAUGCAAGUCGAGCGGACGGAGGAACUUCGGUUCCGAAGUUAGCGGCGGACGGGUGAGUAACGCGUGAACAAUCUGUCCCAGACAGGGGGAUAACACAUCGAAAGGUGUGCUAAUACCGCAUAAGACCACAGUGCCGCAUGGCACAGGGGUAAAAGAACGGAAUCGGUUUGGGGUGAGUUCGCGUCUGAUUAGCUAGUUGGUGAGGUAACGGCCCACCAAGGCGACGAUCAGUAGCCGAUCUGAGAGGAUGACCGGCCACAUUGGAACUGAGAGACGGUCCAAA